rnacentral:rRNA from 1 species
GAUGAACGCUAGCUACAGGCUUAACACAUGCAAGUCGAGGGGAAACGGCAUUGAGUGCUUGCACUGAAUGGACGUCGACCGGCGCACGGGUGAGUAACGCGUAUCCAACCUUCCCAUUACUGUGGGAUAACCUGCCGAAAGGCAGACUAAUACCUCAUAGUCUUCGAUGACGGCAUCAGAUUUGAAGUAAAGAUUUAUCGGUAAUGGAUGGGGAUGCGUCUGAUUAGCUUGUUGGCGGGGUAACGGCCCACCAAGGCAACGAUCAGUAGGGGUUCUGAGAGGAAGGUCUCCCACAUUGGAACUGAGACACGGUCCAAACUCCUACGGGAGGCAGCAGUGAGGAAUAUUGGUCAAUGGACGGAAGUCUGAACCAGCCAAGUAGCGUGCAGGAUGACGGCUCUAUGGGUUGUAAACUGCUUUUGUAUGGGGAUAAAGUCAAUCACGUGUGAUUGUUUGCAGGUACCAUACGAAUAAGGACCGGCUAAUUCCGUGCCAGCAGCCGCGGUAAUACGGAAGGUUCGGGCGUUAUCCGGAUUUAUUGGGUUUAAAGGGAGCGUAGGCCGGAGAUUAAGUGUGUUGUGAAAUGUAGACGCUCAACGUCUGAAUUGCAGCGCAUACUGGUUUCCUUGAGUACGCACAACGUUGGCGGAAUUCGUCGUGUAGCGGUGAAAUGCUUAGAUAUGACGAAGAACUCCGAUUGCGAAGGCAGCUGACGGGAGCGCAACUGACGCUUAAGCUCGAAGGUGCGGGUAUCAAACAGG